rnacentral:rRNA from 1 species
UAGGGAAUCUUCGGCAAUGGGGGGAACCCUGACCGAGCAACGCCGCGUGAGUGAAGAAGGUUUUCGGAUCGUAAAGCUCUGUUGUUAAGGAAGAACGAGUGUGAGAAUGGAAAGUUCAUACUGUGACGGUACUUAACCAGAAAGGGACGGCUAACUACGUGCCAGCAGCCGCGGUAAUACGUAGGUCCCGAGCGUUGUCCGGAUUUAUUGGGCGUAAAGCGAGCGCAGGCGGUUAGAAAAGUCUGAAGUGAAAGGCAGUGGCUCAACCAUUGUAGGCUUUGGAAACUGUUUAACUUGAGUGCAGAAGGGGAGAGUGGAAUUCCAUGUGUAGCGGUGAAAUGCGUAGAUAUAUGGAGGAACACCAGUGGCGAAGGCGACUCUCUGGUCUGUAACUGACGCUGAGGUUCGAAAGCGUGGGUAGCAAACAGG